UUUAUGGAGAGUUUGAUCCUGGCUCAGGAUGAACGCUGGCGGCGUGCCUAAUACAUGCAAGUCGAGCGAACAGAUAAGGAGCUUGCUCCUUUGACGUUAGCGGCGGACGGGUGAGUAACACGUGGGUAACCUACCUAUAAGACUGGAAUAACUCCGGGAAACUGGGGCUAAUGCCGGAUAACAUGUUGAACCGCAUGGUUCUACAGUGAAAGAUGGUCUUGCUGUCACUUAUAGAUGGACCCGCGCCGUAUUAGCUAGUUGGUGGGGUAACGGC
rnacentral:rRNA from 1 species